rnacentral:rRNA from 1 species
UACGUAGGGUGCAAGCGUUGUCCGGAAUUAUUGGGCGUAAAGAGCUCGUAGGCGGUUCGUCGCGUCGGCUGUGAAAACCUGAGGCUCAACCUCAGGCCUGCAGUCGAUACGGGCGGACUUGAGUACUGCAGGGGAGACUGGAAUUCCUGGUGUAGCGGUGAAAUGCGCAGAUAUCAGGAGGAACACCGGUGGCGAAGGCGGCUUCCUGGUCCAGCACCGACAUUCAGGCACGAAAGCGUGGGGAGCAAACAGG